UUGAUCCUCUGGCACACGGCUGAGGUAAGGCAUAAGUUGGAAGGAUACAUGCACUCAAGUUUUCUAUCUUCAGUUUUCUUAUGUCGGCUGGACCCGGUUGAGGGUAAGAAUGGAGUCAGCUAUUUUGGGUGUUUGCCUCUGUGUCUGGAACUGUUGGGCAUAUGAAAGCUGCAUCAUCUCAAAUCAUUGUCAGAACCUGGUAGUGAAUGUUUUGGCCCUUUAAGUGGACUGGGGAACUAAGGCUAAACCAGAGCAUUAGUUAGCAAUGAUAGGACCAACCAAAUGGGAGCCCAGCCUUUUAAAGCUGGAGGACAAGACUACUUCCCAGGAGUUCAGAACCAGGUCGAGUCCUCUGUAUGCAGGUACUGAAGACAACUGGCUUACACGGAUGCAUAAAUAAUCAGAUGAAGAGAGCAGUGGCCUAUUCAUUGUUUGAGAGGGACAAACCAGAUGAACAGAUUAAAUGGAUACACAACCCCCAUUCACCAGGAUCACACAGGAGGCAAACAAAACAAACACACUGGGCAUGGUAAGCCCACAGAGAACCAUGAGCAAAUUGGAGGUGGAGGUAGCUGGGUUUGGAGAGCUCCUCAAAGAGAUGACCUGUAAGACUGUGAGCUACUUAAGAAAGUGGGCUUGGAGCACGGCUGGCACUUUGCCUAGAGCAGGGUGUGUGCGUGGUUUAUGAAACAGUGAACUUCCUGAAGUCAAGGAGGACGGUGGAUCUGUUACUCACAGAGCGCCUGGCAAACAGGCAGGACAUAGUUGGUGCUGGCUGAAGGGGCACUAUUAUCAAAUCAGUAACAGAUUUCAUAAGAAACCCUAUCCUGCACCAGCAUUCCAUGACUUAUACUAAUAAUGUUAUUGCAAUUUUCACAACCAUCCAAGAAAGCAUUUUUUAGAGAAGUCAAACAAUCUGACCAAGGUGCCUUCCUACGUAGUAGAGAGGGACUCAGUUGCCCAUUUGCUGUAGUCUAAACUCUGUGCCCAAGUUCCAGUUCUCAAAGAGGAAAGUGCUUACUUUUUACCCUCUUCUGCCCUCGAGGAUGGCCUUUUUUAGGGGGAUCCUGACCUCUUCCCUUAGGCCUGGAAUCUCUACUUAAGCGUGUUCGAAGCUACUUGUCUCCUUUGAGGACACCUGAAGAAGCCCCUGUUCCAUCAGAAGCUUUUCCUGUCAACAGCUUUUCUUUCUAACCAGGGAGCUCAUCAUAGAAAAUACUUCUCUGGGGGAUUCAAGCAGAGGCCUAUUGCCCGGUGUGACAGGCACAGUGUGUCUGAGAGGCCAAGACAGAGACGCAUGAAAAGAACCUUCAUUUACCCUAAAGUACAGGUCACUAGCCUCUGGUGGCUUUGUCCCAAGUGCAGGGCAAUUUCCUUGGUCCAGCCUUCUAGUUUUUAGAAUGCAAACCCUUUGGAGCCGCAACAAACAUGACUUCUGUGGGUGGCUGGGCAGUUGGAGGGCUCAGUAUUUGCAAUCAAAUGAGAGACUGGGAUCCAGUGAACUCCUGUGAUGUGUUAAGUUUUCAACCUGACAUUUCUGCACUGAUAUAUUUGUGUAAUGGUGCCUGAGUUAAAAGCUCCAUUUGGAGGCCAGCAGUUAGGUUUUAAAAAAAAUCUACCACCUAAGGGGUUGGGUGCGGUAAACAUGCUUUCCCUCCGAAGGAAAACCUCUCAUUUGUAGUUCUUUGCUAACCCAAUUAAAUGUUGAAGUGGUCACCCCAGAGCCUGCUUUUUAUUUCCUGAGAAACAAUCCAAC
ensembl:lncRNA